rnacentral:lncRNA from 1 species
GUUGUACGAAAUUAAUAAGGGCAUCAUCAAUUGUUAGGACUAGAGUACCUUUAACACUAAAAUAAUACAGUAAAUGGUAAACAUUAAUCUUGUCUUAUAAUAUCAUAUGUGACGUGAAGAUGGUCCGGUACAAAAAAAAUAUAUAUAUAUUAAUAAAAUGAAAGAAGGCAUAGGUAGUGAUGAAAAGAGAUGCACGUGAACUUUGAUGCAACUGCAAGCAUCUCUUAAUUCCUUUGCAGCUUCCACAGAAACAUGAGCAUCUAAAACGGCGUCAAGGUUGUCGGCUUCCAUGUGCACUAGAAAAUGUAGUAUAAUAUAAUUAAGUUUAAUAUAAUUAAGUUUAAUUAGAAGUUGAAAUUAAUCAAUGCAUGCAUGUAAAAAUUAUGAAGGAAUUGAAUUAAUAAUAUACCUGUUCCUUUUUCAACAGCGUUGGGCAGUGGAGUGAAGGGGACCUUGUCGCAUUCCGGCUGGCUGCUCUCGGCGCCUCCGGCCAUCACCAAAAUCGCAACGCACGCAAUUAUCCAUAUCGUCGCCAUCACAAUAGCAGAGAGAGAGAGAGAGAGAGGUGUUUGAGGUGUGAGGAAGUGGGAGAGAUCGAGAGAGAGUUGUUUGAGGUGUGAAGAAUUGUGAAGGGAUGAGCUCUUAUUUGUAAGGAGAAAUUUUGAGG